rnacentral:rRNA from 1 species
CCUACGGGUGGCAGCAGUGGGGAAUAUUGCACAAUGGGGGAAACCCUGAUGCAGCGACGCCGCGUGAGUGAAGAAGUAUCUCGGUAUGUAAAGCUCUAUCAGCAGGGAAGAUAAUGACGGUACCUGACCAAGAAGCCCCGGCUAACUACGUGCCAGCAGCCGCGGUAAUACGUAGGGGGCAAGCGUUAUCCGGAUUUACUGGGUGUAAAGGGAGCGUAGGCGGCAGCACAAGUCUGGAGUGAAAUCCCGGGGCUUAACCCCGGAACCGCUUUGGAAACUGUGCGGCUGGAGUGCGGGAGGGGUACGCGGAAUGCGUGGUGUAGCGGUGAAAUGCGUAGAUAUUAGGAGGAACACCGGUGGCGAAGGCGGCUUACUGGACUGUAACUGACGUUGAGGCUCGAAAGCGUGGGUAGCGAACAGGAUUAGAUACCCGGGUAGUC